rnacentral:tRNA from 1 species
GAGAGGGUAGCUCAGUGGUGGAGCGCGUGCUUGCCAUGCACAAGGUCCUGGGUGCAAACCCCAGUCCCCCCA